rnacentral:rRNA from 1 species
ACGAACGCUGGCGGCAGGCUUAACACAUGCAAGUCGAACGAUAUAGUGGCAGACGGGUGAGUAACGCGUGGAAACGUGCCUUUCACUACGGAAUAGCUUUUGGAAACGAAAGGUAAUACCGGUAUACGCCCUCCGGGGGAAAGAUUUAUCGGUGAAAGAUCGGUCCGCGUUAGAUUAGCUAGUUGGUGAGGUAAGAGCUCACCAAGGCGACGAUCUAUAGCUGGUCUGAGAGGAUGAUCAGCCACACUGGGACUGAGACACGGCCCAGACUCCUACGGGAGGCAGCAGUGGGGAAUAUUGGACAAUGGGCGCAAGCCUGAUCCAGCCAUGCCGCGUGAAUGAUGAAGGCCUUAGGGUUGUAAAAUUCUUUCGCCAGGGAUGAUAAUGACAGUACCUGGUAAAGAAGCCCCGGCUAACUUCGUGCCAGCAGCCGCGGUAAUACGAAGGGGGCUAGCGUUGUUCGGAAUUACUGGGCGUAAAGCGCACGUAGGCGGACUUUUAAGUCAGAUGUGAAAUCCCAGAGCUUAACUCUGGAACUGCAUUUGAAACUGGGAGUCUAGAGAUCAGGAGAGGUUAGCGGAAUACCGAGUGUAGAGGUGAAAUUCGUAGAUAUUCGGUGGAACACCAGUGGCGAAGGCGGCUAUACUGGAUCUGAUACUGA